rnacentral:lncRNA from 1 species
AACAAUUGUACUCAAAAUUCGUACACUAAAUAUUUUUGGUACUGACACAAUUUAUAGACUCUUAUUUUUGCAUGAAUAUGUAGCUCAUCUCAUCAAAAUUAAAUGCAGCAUGUUAAGUCAAAUUUUAUACUAUAAAAUUUGAAUGCAAAAGGUUUCAUUAAUCCCAGUUGUCUACGUGUACAUCGAUUUUGUCAUCAGAUAUCACAAUGGCUUUACUUUUUGCUCUUGAUUGUUUAUAUCUAUAUUAGCCUAAUUUGUCUCCAAUUGAAUCUGCUUGACAGCUAAUCUCUUCUAAACUCCUCAAGCCUAUCAACUAUUCUUGAACUAGGUGAAUGCAUUUCCAUGCUCUAUAUUACCUUAAUAAAUUGGUGUAUUUGUAUGCAUUUUUCAUUGGGAGAAAAUGUUUUAACUGUUUUUUAUUUUCAGAGAAGAACUAUUUAUACAAACAUGGGGACUGUGAAAAGAAAAUUCUAUAGUGAAUUGUGAAAAGUGGACAUAUUUCUAAAUUCAUUCCACUGCCUUUAUCCAAACUUAAGAAUUACAGACAUUUGUUAUUCCUUCGGCAAGACAUCCCCGCUGCACACUGAUAUGUUCAUUUCGUAAUUUGGUUGCUGGCCACCAAGUGCUCCUUAGUUUUUAAAUACAUUUUGAGAUUAACUGGAAACUUGAAGAAGAAAUUAGUUCCCGAUUAAGACUAUCCCAACUUUAUUUUUAUUGUCAGUUUCACUUUUGUUUCUAUGUUGUUUUAUGUCUUUGUUAUAUAAUUGUACAUUGUGUGAUAUGUGAAAAAAAAACACGAAUUUGGAUGAACCUUGUGUUACAUGUACAUUGUUUUCAUUAUAUAGACAGCUUGAGAAUAGUGCGUUCCUGAAUGAUUUUGAACAUGCUACAGUGAAAAGUGACAGUGUGGACCAUGGAAUCACCAGCUAGAGGUUAUGGACUAUACACACCUAUUAUUAUAUUCUGAUUAAAUACAGGAAAAAGUAACAAGUAAAAUUACUAGAUUGCAAUAAAAAAAUUCAUUUUUUGGUCUUUCCUGUAUACCCCUGAUUUCCUUUUUGUUUUAUAUCAAAGAAAGUACUGAGUUUCAGAAAUCCUUUUUGAAGUCAGGUAUUUUACCAUUCAUACUCUACAGUAGAAAUGUUUUUGAUUAAGCACUCAGCAAUAUGACCAAAUUGACAGUGGUUCCUAUUACCUUGAUUAAAGUGGCGGCAAUUAAUUUACUGAUGUUUUGUCAGUGAAAUAAAUAAUAGCAUCUUAUGAAGUUUGUGUAUCUCUGAUGAAAAUGAGUCAUGUCAGAUUCCCUCUCUGAAGGGAAGUUAAAUAAACAACAUUUUUAAAAUUCUUUGAAUUCUAAAUAAAUAUGCUUUGAAAAGUGAGUUAGGGUUUUGUCUAAUUGCACUGAGGCGAGCUAGCUUCGGUGCCAUUUUUCUCUGUGCCCUUUUCCCUCCAUGGAUUCAUUUCUAUCUAUUGCACUCUAGCGUAAAGGACCCAGCCAAGAAAUUGUAAAAUAGAUUCAACAACAAAAUAAACAGGUCUUGAGUUAAUUAUCAAUCUCUAUGCACUUAAUUAAUAUUUCCCAAGCCCAUCUUAAAGGUGUAAUAAGGUAGAAAAAUAAAAGUACACUGUUAAAAUAGCCAGAAAUGUUUUUAUAAAUAAUCCUGCUAAAUAAAUCUGAGGCCCUUUGUUAAUUUACAAUUAUGAUUCAUUUUAUUAAUAAACUUGUUUGAAUUGUACCACAAAUUUAACUGAAUUGUAUCAUCAAAAUAAAUAAAACAGGGUAAUAAAAAUAACAAUUAGGGUGACUGAUGUCAGACACUCAUAUCAACUCAUCAUUUUCUUGUAGCCUCUGAUUCUGUACUUUCUUGUGUAUUAUUAAAGAGGUAAAUGCUCUCUUAAAAUGCCUCUAGUUCCUCAGAGGUAGGAAAAAUAAACUCAACCUGCUUUGGACUUGUGUAUUUACUUGGGUUGGUUUCCAGAAUCUCCUUAUUCCUGAAACAGUAUGAUCAUGUAGUUAAACUACUCCUUUAUAUCUGUAAGUACUGUGCAGCCAACAUGUUCUUUUUUGUCCCCAACUUCUGCCAUCUUUCCAACCU